CCUUCUUUCUUUCCUUCUUUUGGUCUUUCUUUCAGUCUUCCUUUUGGUCUUUCUUUCUCUUUCAGUCUUUCUUUUUAUAAUCAGCUGUGUCUUAUACCCAACUUUAAAAUGGUUCAAAUGCUGCCAGUGUGUAAGAAGGGGAAAUGGAUGCUUUUAGAUUCUAUGGAUAAUUUUUUAUGCAAGAAAAUGCCUUUGUUUGUUUUUAAAUGUAAAUGUAUAUUCUGCAUUCACAUGUGUGCAUGUGUAUGAAAGCAAAGGCAGCCAUUAAUGCCUUGCAUCAUACUGUAUGAUAUACAUAUUAGAAUGUACUACAUACUGCAUGUGACACAUGUAAUACGUAAGACAUAAUAUCAAGAUGUAAAAUCUAUAGAGUAUAUUUAACGCAAAUGUAUAUAUUAUGCUUUUCAAUCAUAAGGUUGAGAAUGCUAAAGACAUAUCCUUCAAUAUAGCCAGAACUGUCAGGGUUGUGAGAUGGUAUCUAUUUGCAUCUUUGUUACCCUGCUUGUUUUUUCUUUGUCUUGAGAUCUGGCUCCAUGCUUAGAGAGCUUUUAUUGUGGCCUCUCCUCAUCUGGGUCCUGAUCAUGUGGUAGAGGUUGUUUGUGUGAGACCUAACUGCUGCAUUUCUCCAGAGUCCCAUUGUCUUCUCAAAGGGUUUUAAUGUACAGGGAUCUCCCCCAGGGUCAGAGCACAGCCAUUAUAUUGAAAACUCUGUUCUCUCUCUUGCUGAAGUCAGUAGCAAAAUGCUACUUGUCUCGGUUACUGCAGGUCAGUCUGGGAAACGCAAGUAUGGUGUGGUGAGGGGUCUGUAGCUCAGAGGAGCUUGCCUGAAUAAAGAGAACAGAAAGUGUCUUUCAGGGCAGUUUCCACUGAGAUAAGUAAGUGCCCGAUUACUCUUUGGUUCAUUGCGACUGAGGCAAAUAUCUGUGAUGGCCUGGGCCUUGGGAGUCAUUCUGCAUCCUCUGAAGCAUGUAAAUGGUGGAUAAGUAAUAAGUAGGACUGAGGAAGGGUCUGCAAGGUGGGAUUUUGUGUAAAAAGUUGUCUUGGUCUCUGAGUUAAUUCUGUAAAAUGCUGUUGUUCUUAUCUGUGUAUCAGGUUCACUAUAAUGAAAUAUUUUUCGGAGUAAAAGAUAGUAACUUCACAUUUUAAGUUACUCUAGCAGAUGCACUAAACUAGCAGAAGAACCUGCUAUUUAAGAGGGAUGUGUCAAGGCUGUUUCAGUUUCCUAGUAGUCCAUGUUUGGUGCUAUUUUAUGCCUGAGUGUAUCAGCUGAUAUAACUUUUCCCAAAAUAAGAUAUAAAAAACUCAGGUUAAGCACAAGCCACACUGAGCCUACGUCAAAAAAUUCCUGUGCUCAUUCUCUCCCUCGGGCCUGACCCCACUGGCCCUGCUAGGCAGGAGCCAUCCCUCCUAAGAACAGGUUGUUCUCCUGGCCAGUGUGACAAAUGGCCGGACAUGGAGGCUCCAGCAAAAAAAGAUGUGAGGCAAAUUGCCAAUAACAUAAUCCCAGCAUGUCUUGCAGAGAGCUUAUGUAGAGAGGUGAAGAGACUUUGUGCUCUGAGGUGAAAUUCAGCAGUGAGUUUCUAGCUGGAGUGCUGUGGCUUUGGGCAGUCUCCACUGGUGCAAAUUAAAUUUGCUGCAAACACGCAACUUUUUUUGUGCAGUUUUUGCAUUCCAUAUUUUUCAGUUCUGGAAAGAAUGUGCAAAUGAAAAUUUGUGAAAUAGGACUGGUGGUUGCUCCCUGGAUGUUCUAUGUUAGAGCUAAGAGAAAUACAAAAGGAAACAGAAGAUUGGAAAUGUAACCUAGGUGCUUUAAUUCAGGCAUGAAAUCCUUUUCUAAGCAUCUCCUAAAAACAGUAUAGUGUAGUUCCAAAGUCAUCAACAAUACUAUAUAUUAUACUACUUCUGGUAUUCAUAAUUUUUAUUAAGCAGCUUUCAUAAUUCCUUCAAGUGACUUAAGUGACAUAGCGGUGACAUUGUGGCACCUGUGCCACUGACUUUAUAGAUGGCUCAUGCUGUCAAAAAUCUUACCUCAAGUCCUCAGCUGUUAACACUCACUCCUGGAUGUAUGAAAUGCAGUUCUAUCUGUCUGUCUAGAUAUUUCCUUCUUAAGGCAGAGCCAUUUUUGCAAAGUAAAGUAGGCAUCUCCAGGGACUUGUUUCCAUAACAACCUCCCAGACUGUUUCUCUACCCUGUGACUGGCUACAAGCAAAAGCACUCAUUGAAUACUUUCAGUUCUCAGAUAUUAGUACACCAUCUUUACAGCAUUUUUCUUUGCUUACUGAAGAUCCUAUCACUUUAUAUCAUGUUCAGCUGCCCUGUCCAACUCCAGACUGACAGAGCAUUAUCGGCAUUUGAAAACUGAUGGUGCAAACCAGGAGAUGGGAAAGGACUUUGUAUAUCUUUGCACACAGAGAGGAGAUGAGUGUGUGAAGGACAAUCUGAACAAUCACAAACAAGGAACAUUGCAUUAAAAAACACAUAUAUAUUUUUUUCAAUAAUCUCACUAUGAAAUAAAGAUUUUGCUGUGGAUGAGACUAUUGCUUUUUCCUGAACCCCUGGCUAUUCUGUGACAAUUAUUUCAACAGAAAAUUUCAACAAUUAAAAACAGGGCAGAAAUCAACUUCUUGUUGGAAGUGAGGAAGGAAGGAAAAGAAUAAUUUUAUUGAGGGCACCUUUUUUAUCCCAAACCUAUCCUUAUGUGAAGGACUGUAAGAGUGAAAGGCAUGAAGAGUUGUUUUGCAGUAUUUCAGAGUCUACAUUACUGAAGGAUUCCUGCACUUUCCUCUAAGAUGAAAUUUUUAUUCUGUUCCUCUUUGGAAAAUGUCACAUUUUGAGAUUUCUGAACAAUUUUUUGUUUUGGCCCUGUUCUUUCUGAUCCAGAGUAUAUGGAUAAAGGUUACUGCUACAGCAGCUGUGGAGGUGAAGGUGACUGGACUUGGUGUUCUCUGCUAGGCCCACUCAUUCAGUGUACAGAGAUCCCUAUGGAGAUAAAGAAGAAUGAAUAUAAAGGAUAUUCAGGGCAGCCAAAGGCAGGGUAAGGACUAAAGAGUCUUCCAUACUGUGAUGGAAAGAACAGCAUCAUCCCUAAAAGCAAUGGAACAAACACCUCCAGAUUCUGCUUUACCUGCAGAAUUAGGUCCCGUUUACACUGGGGAAAGAUCUACAGAUUACAGGAGGAGUUAACCACAGUUUACCUGAAAACUCUCAUCUAAUUUGAGUCCAAGAAGCAGAUGCUGCCCUCUUUUACACCAGUGCAAUUCUGGAAUAACUCCACUGACGUCAGUGAAGUGAAAUUUAUCCCAGUUGAAAGCAGAACUGGACCAAAGUCUCAUCAUCUACUUAUAUGCUAUGGUGCUCUCAGGAAGGUGCACCAUUACCAUGCCAUAAGGUAUGAUUUGAAAGAGAGUACCAGUGAUUUGAAAGAAAGGUCAGCAUGCUCAAUGUGGAGCAUGUCUUUUCAGCCACGCUCAGAGCUGGACCUGUUGUGUGAGGUUUCAAGCAACAUGUGCAGUGAUGCUGGAUUCUGGAUGAUUCAAGGCUGUUGUGUCAGAAUGCUGCAAAAGAUGUUGCAUCUCCUCAUCAUGGAGUUGGUGAAGUUUCCCUCUGUGCAGGGAAUACAGCAUUUAUGGACGUGAAACUGCUUUUUUUGGUUAGAGGUUUUCUUGUUUUCUUUAAAUGGGUUAGCAUGCUUAGUUACAGGAAACUGAAAUUAGAUGUGAACACAGGUUGGAGGAAGGAGGAAGGGAGAAUCCCGUCCAAGUUUCAAAUGUGUAUGAUUUCUGGAAAAAAUAAAUAAAACAAAUUUAAUUUCCAGUGGCUAAAUAGCAGCAAUUUUUCAUCUAUUAAUCAAAAGCCCCAGACAAGCACUGAGUCCUGUGGGAAGCUGGAAAUGGACACAGGGCACCUCCAAACCAUUCUGUUACUGACACCUAUUUUAAAUCUUUUUUUAAAGUGGAGGACCGAGUCCUGGCAAACACGUAAAGUCAACCCUUAGAAGAGCACAAAGCUUUCUCUAGAGAACUGAACAGCUGGCCAAAGUAUGCCUAUUUGUCUGCCUGUCUUUUUGCCCCUGGAUUACUGUGCUUUUAUAGACUGUUUUCAUAGCUCAGAUAAACGGUAGAAGUUUAACAUAGCUCUACAAAUAAUAAUCAUCUUGAUCAUGCAUAAUAUGCAUUACGUAAGAGGUGGGCCCAAACUAGAGGUAUUUCUCAUUUCUCUAUGAAGUGUCUUGUUUGAGUAUAUUUGCAGUUAGUUCUUCUUGUGAACAUGUGAGUCUAUUGCCUGCUUUAAAGUAGUGACUUAGUUUCAGUGGCUGUAGAAUGUUUCACUGAAAUAACAUUGUUUAUAGUCUUUCAUGUGAUUUAGAAGGCACAAUUGCCAUAUAGUUUUGAAAAUGUAAUAUAAUUGUAUACAGUGUUCCUGGGAAAUGUUCUGAAGUUUUUUCCCACUGCACCAUUGUGAUAAAAACCUGUUGCUCUUCAUGCUCCGUGAGCCCAUGCUGCACUAUGCUGAAGCUGAUGGGAAACCUACUUAGUAAUGGGAAGUGAGGGACAGAGAGUGAUGCUCUGGCCUGGAAUCUCCUCUCUUUGGCAAUAGCACAGGUAGAAAGCAUCUCCUUUUAAUGAGACAGUUCUUGGCACCUGUAACAAGCAAGGAUUGUAAUACCUCCUCAUGGUUGCUGACUGUGGGUCUGGUCCUCUGAUACGCUGUGACCUCCUGGCUACCUAUGACUCAAACCUGUAAUCAGUGUCUUAUAGGACUGGGCUUAAAGCAACUGUGACGUGGCAAAUCCAAAGAUACUUCUGGAGCAAGUCUGCACAGUAGUCUUGAGCAUGGAUGUAAAGCCACAGUUCCUAGGAGGCAACAUUCACUCUGUAUUCAUAUUAUUUGGGUGAAAACAAUGCAGAGACCUACUCUGACUCUCAGUGCAGGCCAGCUUGCAGUGUGAGGCUUCUUAGACCUGUGUGACCAGGCAACAUGGCUGGCAUGGGGUAGCCAGAGCUGCCACAGACCCUUCUUGCAAGGGCAGUUGUCUUCAGAGGUAGCCUAAGUAUAGGCAGCCUGCUGCAGAAGUCUGUGAGCCUUCAGAUGCAUGGCAUGCAGGUCAGAGACUUUAGGUGAUACUGUGUGCCACCACAAACAGCGCGGAUGUUUGUUGCAGGAUCCCUUUGCUUUUGCUGUGAAACCUAGCUCCUAUACAUUAUUUCAAGGAAAAGAGUUGGGAUUUGCAGGCCAGGUCAUGUGGUGACAUAAGUAUUUCCAAUGCCCUUAUUGGAGCUAGGCUGAUUUAUACAAGUCUAGUCCAACAUUUCUGAGAAAUGGUAGAAUGUAGGGUUUUUUGUUGUUGUUGUUGGCUGCACUGAAAAACUGAAGCCUUUCAAAUAAAGUAUGUGAAGUAAACAGAAUUUUUAGAUGGAAUAGUGAAAAUGCUGUUUUCUGGAUUCAGACUUUGAGACAAAUUUUUUUGCAGAAUCCACAUGUUGUGGGAUAAGAGGGUAUUGGGCUUGAAAACUGACCAAUGAAAUGGGACUCAACUGAGCUUUGAAAAGCAGUUAUAGUCCUUAUUGGUGUUGCCAUAAUAUAUGCUUAACUCAAACCCAACUUUGCACAGGCCAGAACCCAAUGAAACCAUGUAACUAGGUAUUUGUGAUUGUUCCUAUCAGUGUGAUCCACUGUUGAAUAGGCUGGACAUAUGAAUAAAACCAUUUUUUAAAAAAA